rnacentral:rRNA from 1 species
UGAGGGAUAUUGGGCAAUGGGGGAAACCCUGACCCAGCGACGCCGCGUGAGGGAAGACGGUCUUCGGAUUGUAAACCUCUGUCUUUGGGGACGAAGAAGGACGGUACCCAAGGAGGAAGCUCCGGCUAACUACGUGCCAGCAGCCGCGGUAAUACGUAGGGAGCGAGCGUUGUCCGGAAUUACUGGGUGUAAAGGGAGCGUAGGCGGGAUUGCAAGUUGGAUGUGAAAAACUGCGGGCUCAACCCGGAGAGUGCAUUCAAAACUGCGAUUCUUGAGUGAAGUAGAGGCAAGCGGAAUUCCUAGCGUAGCGGUGAAAUGCGUAGAUAUUAGGAGGAACACCAGUGGCGAAGGCGGCUUGCGGGCUUUUACUGACGCUGAGGCUCGAAAGUGUGGGGAGCAAACAGGAUUAGAUACCC